rnacentral:rRNA from 1 species
GCUUGAUGAGGAGAGGUGGCCUCUGCAUGCACGCUAUCGCCGUGUGAGGGGGGUGCGUCCUAUUAGCUGGCUGGUGGGGUAAUGGCCUACCAGGGCGACGAUGGGUCGCCGGUCUGAGAGGAUGAUCAGCCACACUGGGACUGAGACACGGGCCAGACUCCUACGGGAGGCAGCAGUGGGGAAUUUUGCGCAAUGGGGGGAACCCUGACGCAGCAACGCCGUGUGAGUGACGACGCCGUUCGCGGCGUAGAGCUCUGUGAGGCGGGACGAAGGCUCCGGGUGAAGAACCUGCGAGGGUGACGGUACCGCCACAGCAAGCCCCGGCUAACUCCGUGCCAGCAGCCGCGGUAAGACGGAGGGGGCGAGCGUUGUUCGGAAUUACUGGGCGUAAAGCGCCCGCAGGCGGUGACGUGAGUGUUUCGUGAAAGCCCCCGGCUCAACCGGGGACGGGCGAAGCAGACUGCGUGACUUGAGUGCUGGAGGGGGAGGCGGAAUUCCUGGUGGAGCGGUGAAAUGCGUAGAGAUCAGGAAGAACGUCAGUGGCGAAGGCGGUCUCCUGGACAGACACUGACGCUGAGGGGCGAGAGCGUGGGGAGCGAACGGGAUUAGAUAGCCCCGGUAGUCCACGCCGUAGACGCUGGGCACUAGGUGUGGGGGUGGAGAUCACUUCCGUUCCGGAUCUUUCUCUUGUUUUUUCUCCUCUUGUGGAGUACGGUCGGCAUGGCUGAAACUCAAAGGAAUUGACGGGGGGCCCGGACUAUGCGGGUGGAGCAUGUGGUUNAAUUCGACGCAACGCGCAGAACCUUACCUGGGUUUGACAUGGCACUGCGAUGCCCUGCGAGGGGCAGUUCCUUCGGGACGGUGUCACAGGUGCUGCAUGGCUGUCGUCAGCUCGUGUCGUGAGAUGUUGGGUUAAGUCCCGCAACGAGCGCAACCCUUGCCCUUCGUUACCAGCAGGUGAGGCUGGG